rnacentral:rRNA from 1 species
GACGGAGGGUGCGAGAGAUACUCGGAAUUACUGGGCGUAAAGCGCAUGUAGGCGGCCGAACAAGUCAGGUGUGAAAUCCUCGGGCUUAACCUGGGAAGUGCACUUGAUACUGUCCGGCUAGAGUUUGGCAGAGGAAAGUAGAAUUCCCGGUGUAGCAGUGAAAUGCGUAGAUAUCGGGAGGAAUACCAGUGGCGAAGGCGGCUUUCUGGGCCAAUACUGACGCUGAGGUGCGAAAGCGUGGGGAGCAAACAGG